UACGUAGGGUGCGAGCGUUGUCCGGAAUUAUUGGGCGUAAAGAGCUCGUAGGCGGUCUGUCGCGUCGAUCGUGAAAACCUGCGGCUUAACCGUGGGCGUGCGGUCGAUACGGGCAUGACUGGAGUUCGGCAGGGGAGACUGGAAUUCCUGGUGUAGCGGUGAAAUGCGUAGAUAUCGAGAGGAACACCUGCGGCGAAGGCGGGUUGCUGGGCUGACACGUGACGCUGAUGCGCGAAAGCGUGGGGAGCGAACAGG
rnacentral:rRNA from 1 species